rnacentral:misc_RNA from 1 species
AACGCAUCUUGCGCUCCUUGGUAUUCCGAGGAGCAUGCCUGUUUGAGUGUCAUGAAUCCCUCAGCCCCCAUCGUUUUUUGUUAAGCGAUUGGCUCGGGUCUGGAUUUGGGCGUCUUGCCAAUGCGCUUCUUCAAGUGCUUGGCUCGCCUUAAAGAGAUUAGCUGGACCCUAUUCCGAGCUGGUUCAACUCGACGUGAUAAUUUCAUUCGUCGAGGUAUGGUCGGCCUUACGGCUGAUCAGCCAGGUGUAGGAAUCCGGUCUGCUUCCAACCUUCGUCUGAAGCCAGCAAUGGUGUGAAGCGGAAUUUUUUAAUGCUCUGGCCUCAAAUCAGGUAGGAUUACCCGCUGAACUUAA